UCUCGCUCUCGGAUUCUCACAAUGGUGAACAACAAUAAUUCGGCGGCUCCUCUCUCCCAUUCUCUUGCUCUCGCCGAACAAACAAACAACAACAACCUUCGGACUUCUUCCGGCGGCCAUGGAAGAGGCUUGAAGAAGCUUGAAAAAAAAACCAGGUAUGCUUCUUCACAAAUUUCGUUUUCUUUUUGUUUUCUAAUAACAGCUCAAUGAUAACUCUCUCUGUUUCGAUUUUUGCUUUGGGUGAACAAUAACAACAACAUAUACCUCUUCCAUGUCGUAUGCGUCGCCUCUCUCUUGGUGGACAACAAACAGAGUUCAAUUUAUAUGUUCUUGUUCAUCACUAAUUUUUACAAGUCCAAAAGAUUCAACCAAAAAACAGACAAUUGAAGAGAUAAUUUAAGCAGUAAUAUUGAGAUUGAGAGUGGAAAUGAAUUACCUGCGGCAAGGAGAGUUUUGCCGGUUAUGGUUGAGCUUGUUGUUGCUGAAUUUUUUGAACCUUUGAUGAUGGUUGCUGUGUCGGAUCGUUGGAGAUGAUGUGGGGCUGCCACUAAAAGUUUGGAGGUAUUGUUUCGACCCUCCUGGAAAUUCCGAGUGGUUGUAGAAGAACAACUUUGAAUUUUUUUUACUAACAACUUCUGAAUUUGUUAAUUGUAACAACUUUGAAUUCUUGUUACUAACAAACUCUUUUUCUCUUUUUUUUUGAAAUUGUUGAUUGUAACAACUUUUGAAUUUUGUUGUUGUAGGCUUUUUUUGAUGAAGGUGAUGCUACAACAUCUCUCUCUUUGGAUUGUGGGAGACUUGAAGAUGAAGAUCUUCAAGUGAGGUAUGAAGAACUACCUCUCCCUUCUUAGUAACUAUAGAACUUCUUGAAAAUUAUGAUAAGAAAGAGAAGUGAGAAAGCUAGUAGUAUAGUAGCUUUUGUGUAUUUUUGCAAUGAAGAGAACACUCCUAUUUAUAGGAAAAGCUUAGGAUGUGUUUGGCAAUUUGGUGAACUUGAUUGGCAAUUUUCAAUCAUUGCAAGAUAAGAAAAAGAAUAUAUUCUUCAUCAUUGCAAGAAUAAAAGAUAAGAAUAAGAAUAUUCUUAUGCAAAGAUAUUUUUCAUGAUAUAAGCCAUGUGUGUAAAUUUUUAUGUCAUUUUUAUGAUAUCUCUAAGUUGCAUAAUUUUAUGACAUAAAAAUCUCUCUUUGGCUUUCUUUGACUUUUGCUAAUUUCACCCCCUUUUUGUUUUCUUUUUUCAUGUUACAUGAGGACCUUGAAGAAAAGCAUGAAGAAAUUUGAUCUUGAAGAAUGAAGACUUGAAGAAUUCAAGAAUUGCUUUUGAAGUUUUAUUUUUUCUUUUCC